GCACUCCAUUAGUUUAUGAUUCAUUCUCCCGUGUGUCUGGUAUAUAUGUACCUCAGGAGUCCUCAAGCUUACUCGAUUUUUCUUAAUAUUUUUAGAACAUAUUGCCUUACGAGUGCAUUCGUAUUCGUUAACUUGACCGUUCGUUCUUCGAAGUGAACGUAAUCGAUCGAACGUGACUGAUACCGCAGUGUUUCAACGAUUAAAGAGUGACAUAUAUAAAUCUAUGGUUUGCGCGUUCCGACAGAAGCGAGGGAGAGGAGAGGAAGAGAGAUGGGUUGGUGGAUGAAUUACUACAAUUUGCUUAAUAGUUAAUAGACUCAAUUCCUCCGUUUUUUUUUUAUUUGUGGCGACUUCAGCCUCGAUAAACAUGGAUCCAUGGGAUUGUAUUUAAAGAACAGAUGCACAAUGUUGUAGAUUAUGUAGAAAUAACCCAAAUGUGAAGGCUAAGCGCGAAUACCGGACCUUGCGCACCAAAGUCCGGCGCUUUAGCCAUAUCUCAAACACCGUGCGUCUAGACUUCAAAUUUCUGGUAUGCUUUUACGAUCCAUUCACGAUGCCCGCAUAUGCGACCAUACUGCCAUAUCUCAUCCUAGGAAUGUUAGGUCCUAUAUUGGGACACGAUGUCAAAGGUUCUUCGGUUUGCGAAUUUUACAAUGAAACAAUGUGUGCAGAAUCCCAGCAAGAAUGCUCUGGGAGAGAAGAAUGUGGGCCACAUGAUCCAGGCAAAAGAAAUCAUUGUUAUGUAUUGUGGCAGAUUGACAAUGCCACUAAGAAAUCUAUAAUUAAGUUAAAGGGGUGCUUUUUGGAUAGUAAUGAUUGCUAUGACAGACCACAUUGUAUUGAAAAUAGUGCAGAGAGGAAAAAAGAGUUAUUUUUUUGUUGCUGUGAUGGAAAUAUGUGUAAUCAGAAUUUUACAUGGGAUCCUCAUCCAACUUCUUCUUCCAAGCCUAUUUUGCAUGAUCCAGAACCUGUUCCAAAUACAGAGCAACAAAUAAUAACACUUGUUUUAUCAAUAUCAAUACCUAUGCUUCUUCUUGCUAUUGUUCUGCCAUUUUUGUAUUGGUGUUAUAGACGACGGAAGUUGAGAUAUUUCAACGAGGUACCAACAUUAGAACCUCUUCCAUUGCCACAACCAUCUCCUAAUUUGGGAUUACGUCCAAUACAACUUUUAGAGAUUAAAGCUCGUGGUCGUUUUGGAGCAGUGUGGAAAGCACAAUUGAAAAAUGAAAUUGUUGCUGUAAAAGUAUUUCCUAUACAAGACAAACAGUCUUGGCAAACUGAACAAGAAAUUUUCAAACUUGCACAUAUGGAUCAUGAAGACAUUUUGCGUUUCAUAGGCGUUGAGAAAAGAGGAGAUAACUUACAAACUGAAUUCUGGUUAAUUACUGCAUACCAUGAAAAAGGUUCAUUAUGUGAUUACCUGAAAGCAAACGUUGUUACAUGGCCUGAGAUGUGUAGAAUAGCAGAAUCUAUGGCAAGAGGCUUGAUGCACUUACAUGAAGAAAUUCCUGCCAAUAAAGCAGAUGGCUAUAAACCUGCUGUGGCUCACAGGGAUUUUAAGUCAAAAAAUGUAUUACUGAAAGCUGAUAUGAGUGCCUGUAUAGCAGAUUUUGGUUUAGCCCUAAUAUUUCAUCCUGGAAAACCUUGCGGCGAUACACAUGGACAGGUUGGAACAAGAAGGUACAUGGCACCAGAGGUUUUAGAAGGAGCCAUUAAUUUCACGAGAGAUUCAUUUUUACGAAUCGAUAUGUACGCUUGUGGUCUGGUGCUUUGGGAAUUGGCUUCACGAUGCACUGUACAGGAUGGACCAAUUGGGGAAUAUAGAUUACCUUUUGAAGAUGAAGUAGGUCUCCAUCCCACUUUAGAAGACAUGCAAGAAAGUGUUGUGCACAAAAAAGAAAGGCCAGUUAUCUUAGAAACGUGGCGUAAACAUCCCGGACUUCAGUCAAUUUGUGAUACAAUGGAGGAGUGUUGGGAUCAUGAUGCUGAAGCACGCCUUUCAGCUUCUUGUGUAAUGGAAAGAGUUGCUACAUUGAGUAGGACACUUGUUUUAAAUUCGUCAACGUUAAUACGAGUUGAUAAUACCAACGAGACUAUCACCACUAAGGAAUCUAGCUAUGUCCAUAUAAACCUCGACACACAUGAAUAGAGGCGUCACAUUGUAAUUAUGCGGCCCGAGGAAAGGCAACCAAGAAACGAUUCUUAAGCUAUUUUUCCGGCGGAGACAAAAACCGAGCAGGAACAAGGUCACUGGAUCUUAACGUUUCUAAAUAAGAGGAGGAUGAAUCAGUCUUAGCGCAAUUAUCGUACGCCACUUGAGCUAAAUUGAUCGUUUCCAGUUCGCAAUUUGAAACCACCAUAUUGGUUCGAUAAACGCCUCGAUAGAUAACGUCCCAAAGAUUUUUAAUUCUUUAAUCGUUGUCUUCAAAAUAUCUGUACAAAGGUAAAAGGUGUAUCUAUAUCCCUAGAUUCUGGUAUCUUGACAUAUAUCUCUAAAUAUACUUAUGUUCCUACUAGGUCCCUAGGUCUCAAGAUAUUUGUAGAUGCAGUACUGUAUCCGUCACUAGAUAUUUCAGUUCAUUUCUAGAUUUCUAUAUCGAUUUCCAGAUUGCAAAAAUUUAGCAAUACGUUGCAUCACUUGUUAAGUAGUUUAAGUAAAAAGAAAAGUAAGGUGAAAUUUUGCUGGUGUUUAAUUGCUAAUGAUGGAUGUUUGCAGUGUAUACGAUGAUAUUAGCGCAAAAUGCGGUACAGAAUGUAGUCCUUCGACGAGACGUAACCUUCGCAUCGAUUUUAUGUAUAGCAGAGGUCAAUGACGUAUUAGGUUGAACUAUGUUUCGGAAAUGCGUCGAGUGUAAAAGGUAUUUCUUUGGUUUCAUCCGCGAGAUGUAGAUUUGUACCGGUGAUUACGUUAAUGUAGACGGGAAAUAGAGAUACGCCCACGGUGCUAGAAAACGAGUCGAUAUUAGAAGCGACCAAAGUACUCACGUUCAUAGUGAAGGGACAGCUGACAGUCGAUCCACGUACACUCAACACUGCCACGAAUUAUGACAUCGCGUGAAAUUUCGCGUGGAUAUCACUUUACGAUUACGGUGUAAUUAUAUACGCAUGUCACUUCUUAAAAAUCACGAAGACGUACUUUCCGGAAUGCAUAUUCUGAGUCACUCUGUCGAGGAGAGCCCCUCCCUGACUGCAACAACCCUUGUCUAACGUGAAAUGCGCAUGCUCUCGAAUUCGACUGGUCGUUUCUGGCGAAAGGGGAUGAUUCCGUUCUUAGCACUUAGGUCCUCCUCGCGUGCAAUUUCAAGCACUAACACCCCGACCAAGUAUCGUCGUUCGAAUCCAUGCAAGGGGAACGGCGAUAAGGAACUGUCGGUGGUAUAUUCAACCCCCUAAUGUUUUUGAGGUUAUGCUGCGCAUGUCUAAGCACCCUCUCCAAUCCUCAAUCAUCGAACGGCUGAUCCAUGAUUCUCUCCCUCUCAGUCUUUCAAAUAUUUUCAAUGAUAAUUCUCCUCGAACAACAAGAUUAUUCGUGCAUGAGUAAUCAUUUACCGAUAACGGUGAAUGUCACUGAUUUUCGCAACACACUUUCUUCGAGACGAGUGUUACGAUUCUGAACCCGCUUCGCCUUAUAUUGAUUUUCUGCGCUUUGAUAUCCGUGUCUGGAAAGGUUGUUAUUUCUUUGCGUGACCUUAUGCUUGCAGCUUUACUGCAGAUGGGGGCGAUAGUGACCGAAUAAAAUCGUUUGAUGUUCGAGAAAUUUUUUAUAUUUAUUCGAUAAUCAAAAAAUCGUGUUUUAAAGAUUUAUUAAUAUAUCAAAUCAUUUUUACUACUCAAUGCACAGUGUUAGAUAUGUUUGAAAAUAGCGCAUUGACCACAUGCCUAAUUAUUAUUAAAACAGUUAAUAUAUAUGAGUUACCAUACUUAAAAAAACGUAAUUUCAGAAUCAUAAAACAGAUGAUAUAUGACAAUAAAUUUCUUAAAGAUAAUUUCAACAAUUGUUAUGUGUUUGACUUCAGUCAUACAGCAAUCAAUCGAUGCGCGCCAUUUUUUUGAAUUUUUGAAAGUCGACCAAUCAGCGUCCUCUGUAGGCGAGAGCAGACUGCAUUACGAAAUGUCAGUCAGUACAGUUCGACGCAUUAAUGUAGGACGAAGUACAUCCCACUUUUUGAGCCUCUGUGAAGCCUCUUUCCUGUACCCCACCAUUUUCUCCAGGAACGUGUACCAUUCUCGUUGAUGUACAGCACGUGGUGAGUAAUUAAUUUACGAUGUUUACACCGGUACUGUCAUAAACUUUAAAUGAUAGUAUCAGUCUUUGAAUCUGGUAAGAAUAAUUCGCGUUAAUAUGUCGUACAAUGUAACAUAAUAUAUCAAAAAGGUAAGGGUGAGCGGUACAUGUAUUUUUUUUGUAUGUAUUAAGAGUGGUCAAUAGGUUCAAUACAAAAAAAAAAUUAGAAAAAUUGAUCUGCCUUUUAUUUGAUAUGCAUAUAAUUGACAAAUGUUAACUUUGUACCAGAACAAUACUUUAUUAUCUUAUCUUGUAAGGUACAAAAUAAAUACUUUUAUAAAAAAUAUAAAUUUUCAAUACAUUGCAUAUAAAUGACAUACAUGUAUGCAAAAAUUCGUACACAGUAACAUCAAUGUUAAAAGGAUAUGUCCCUAUUGAUUGUCACAGGUUUGAUGGAAGUUACACAUGAUCAUACUAACUAUUUUACUCUAAAAUUGUAAAGUAAUUAUGUACAGGCCUUAGUUUAAUCGAGGUGUAUGCUAUAGGUAUCUCCUAUUAAAGAUAUUAAUGAAAUAUAUUAUCUAAGGAUUCUAUAGAAAAUGUAAGAGAUAUUCUUUUGUGCGUAUUUUUAAAUUCACUUUUUAUGGUUUGGCAUGAUUAUAGAGGAACUGUUGUACUUAAGCAUACAUGUUGCGACUCUUUUAUGUUACAAUAUUAUCUUUCUAACUUUCAAAUUAACACUUGUAUUAUACAAACUGUAUUAUAUUUGUGCUAUGAUUAAUUGAUUGCGACAUAAUGACGACGAAAGCAAACAUAUGUAAAUUUUUACUCGGAAACCAUAUUAAGUACGUACAUGUAUGUACAUGUCGCAUUUGAAAUUAAAUAUUUGAUU
rnacentral:misc_RNA from 1 species